AUGUUCUGUAAAUGUCUGUUACAUCCAUUUAGCCUAACCUGCAGUCUAAAUUCAAUGUUUCUUUGUUAAUUUUCUCUCUAGGUGAUCUGCCCAAUGCUGAGAGUGGGAUGUUGAUGUUUCCAACUAUUAUUGUAUUUAAUUCUCUCUC